rnacentral:rRNA from 1 species
UUUUGAAAAUUGUGGUCUUAGAUCAUGAAUUGUAUUUUCAAAAUGCAUUGCUAACACAACUGCACAUGUUUGUUUAUUGGAAAGAACAUCACAAAGGGUGACAAUCCCAUGUGUCAUGUGUAUGUUUUGUGUACAGCGUGCAUUAUAUGAAUCACAUUCAUUGACAAUUGAAUGCAAAUAGAAUGGUAAAUUUCAUUUAAUCAUAAAUAUGUUGUUGACAACUUAUAGCAAACAAAUACCAUGAGGGAAAUGUGAAAAGGAUUUUGAAAAGAAAAUUAAAAGAGCUUGCAAUUGCUGAACUGAUAAGCAAACAAAACAUACGUGUGUAUGCAAGAUUGUUGUAAUGCUUAGCAUCCUAUGCAAGGCUAUUGCAAUGAUUUUUUGUAUAGUGAUGCUACCUUUUUUUAGAAUUUGGAAUGUCUUUUUUUGAGUGUGAAUGGAAUUUUGUUUGUUAGCAAAGGAAUGCACUUUUAGAUUCAUUGUUUGAUUUGAUUUAAAAAUGUUUGUGACACGUGUCUUUGUUUUAGUUUCAUGCUUCAACCAAGGACAUUGUGUUUGAUCCAUAUCAGCAAUACAUGUUUUGUUUGACCCGUCUUGAAACACGGACCAAGGAGUUUAAUUUAUGUGCAAGAUCAUGAAACUGACAUUUGUAUAUCAAUGAAAAUAUUUUGUUGGGAUUUGUGCACCAACAACUGAUAAGUUGUGUGACGCGACGUUGAGUUUGAGCAUGUUGAUUAAAACCCGAAAGAUGGUGAACUAUGCCUGAACAGAAUGAAGUC